rnacentral:rRNA from 1 species
AGAGAGAGACAUGCGCGCAUAUCAAUAAGCGGAGGAAAAGAAACUAACAAGGAUUCCCUUAGUAACGGCGAGUGAAGCGGGAAGAGCUCAAAUUUGAAAUCUUCAAGGUUCUACCUUGACGAAUUGUAGUUUAUAGAAGUGUUUUCUGUUAGUGGAGUGGCAAAAGGUUCUUUGGAAUAGGACAUCAUAGAGGGUGAGAAUCCCGUAUUUGGUCAUUCCUCCUAGCGUUGUGAUACACUUUCAACGAGUCGGAUUGUUUGGGAAUGCAGUCCAAAAUGGGUGGUAAAUUUCAUCUAAAGCUAAAUAUUGGCGAGAGACCGAUAGCGAACAAGUACCGUGAGGGAAGAUGAAAAGAACUUUGAAAAGAGAGUUAAACAGUACGUGAAAUUGUCAAAAGGGAAGCGUUUGACACCAGCUGUUGUUUUUCCGAAAAUCAAUUACGAAUGUUUUAUUUUUGAGGAGUUAUGACUUCAUCGGCUUGCUCCUUUCUUUAUGAAACUUUCUUAAUGCACUUUUCGGUUAACAAGUCAACAUCAAUUUCUUUUGUUGUAAAAGGGUAUGAGGAAGGUGGCUUUCUUUUCGGAGAAAGUGUUUAUAGCCUUGUGCCUCUGCAAUCGGAGAGAUUGAGGUCUGCAGCGUAGAUCCUUCGGGGUUAGAUACGUUUGUGCUAAGUUAUAGCUUUUCAUAGACAACUUGUUGACUAUGUUUAGUCUUGUAGCUUACUCGCUGACGCUAUUUUACCUACGCUUAGGAUGUUGAUAGUCACAGCGUGUAC